rnacentral:lncRNA from 1 species
GGGUGGAAUAGCAUCCUAUGUGCUGGGACAAAGCCAUCCUGCUAGUGUCUCAAUAUUUCGAUCAGAACAUCUUGGGAUAUCUUCUGUGCCAAAUGUUGAGACAGAACGAUGGUAUAUCCCGUUCUAUAAAAAAAUUAAGAUAGCCUCGUCUCAUGAAAUUUAAAAUUUUAGUUAAAAGUGCCCUCUUAAAGUUAUCUCUCUAA